UGUGAGAGCCAAAAACGGAUGAAAGAAACACCAGACCACCAGUAAAUCUGGAAAUGUGUGUUUUGACGAACUCGGGACAAAGACACGAGCAACAUGCAAAGUUUGAAACCUGAAGAUUCAUCUCUGAGAUUGAAGGUCAGCUCCAGGUUGGCAAAGAAGUAGUCAGCAAACUCCGGAUACAUGUCCAACACCUCCAAAAGGUCCUCCCGUUGGAUGGUGCUCAGGUCGCAGUAACUCAGAGCUCGCACAUCAGCGUUGGACUUUCCAGUGAGUGAGCUUCACCACUUCACCACUAGAUGGCAGCAGCAAACGUCGCAAACUCAGGCCACCGUCAGUUCGCAAGUACAGGUUUGGAACUGGCAGUGGUCGGGAAUCUGCAUAUAGAGCUUUCUUGCCUUGGGACUCAGCUGGAUGUUAUUGUUCGCCCUAACCGAGGAUGUGAACCCUGAUCUCUGAGUUCAAGCAGAGUGGCGGAUGAAAACAAGGGGCGAACGAGCAAGCGAGCGCUCUGUCAUCACAUGACGCUGCCGAGGUUUAGUAUCAAAGCAACAACUUGGAUUAAUAUCUUCAUUCUCAAGAUGUGACGCAAGCUGCCGGAGGUGCCUGAGCGAGGUUAAGUAAGGACCUGCCACCCAUCAACACCAUAGGGACCCUCCCGAAAAAGAAAAAAAAAAAUGUACUUGUGGGCUCACUGGACACUUCAUUAGGUACACAUGACCAGUCUAAUUGCAUUCAACAUGAGAGCUGAAUUGAAAAUGAUGUCCGUGUAAAAAAAUAAAAAAAACAAUCAUUUAUUAAUAAAUGCUACCGUGGCUGUAGUUUGCAGUGGUGUGGAAGUGCACUCUAUAAAUAAAUAAAAGUACACAAUACAGAAAGUCGUGUCCACUUGUGCACCACUACAAUAAUGAAUGUGUGUAGUAGGCCAGUGUCGAUAUAAUUCGAGCAUUAUCAUAUUUGGAAAAGGUGGAAUUUUAUAUUGACCUUAAUAUUACGGUAAUUAGGAUAUUUAAAAAAAAAUUAUGAAUCAUUUAUAAAUAUUUUUUAUUUAACAUUCUACAUACAUUUCCAAUUACCAAAUGCUGGUAAAAUUAGUGGACAAAAAAAAAAAGUAGGAUGACAUUUUUUUUCAAGUACAAAUAACUAAGCACAACCUCAAUUAGGAAAAAAAAAAUCUGAACAACAAAUUUAAAAUCCCACUUUCCAACAACACAUUAGAAGCAAACACUCCAAGAUAAUGGAUGUACACUACAUUUUGUUUUCCACCUCCCCGCUGAAUGUCGGGUGCUGGAAUGCUGGUUUUUUUUUUGGUUUUUUUUUUUGUCAAGAGGAAUGAAAACAUACUUCAGCUCAUUGCUGAUGAUGCUAAUUUCCUCU